rnacentral:rRNA from 1 species
GUUUAAAGGGUGCGCAGGCGGAUUGGUAAGUCAGGGGUGAAAUCCCACAGCUCAACUGUGGAACUGCCCUUGAUACUGUCAGUCUAGAGUAUAGUUGAAGUUGGCGGAAUGUGUCAUGUAGCGGUGAAAUGCUUAGAUAUGACACAGAACACCGAUCGCGAAGGCAGCUAGCUAAGCUAUAACUGACGCUCAUGCACGAAAGCGUGGGGAUCAAACAGGAUUAGAUACCCUGGUAGUCCACGCUGUAAACGAUGAUUACUCGAUGUUGGCGAUACACAGUCAGCGUCUAAGGGAAACCAAUAAGUAAUCCACCUGGGGAGUACGAUCGCAAGAUUGAAACUCAAAGGAAUUGACGGGGGCCCGCACAAGCGGAGGAGCAUGUGGUUUAAUUCGAUGAUACGCGAGGAACCUUACCUGGGCUAGAACGUAGAAUGACUAUAGGAGAAAUCUUAUAUCCCUUCGGGGCAGUCUACGAGGUGCUGCAUGGUUGUCGUCAGCUCGUGCCGUGAGGUGUCGGGUUAAGUCCCAUAACGAGCGCAACCCCUACCUUUAGUUGCCAUCAGGUCAAGCUGGGGACUCUAAAGGAACUGCCUACGCAAGUAGUGAGGAAGGCGGGGAUGACGUCAAAUCAGCACGGCCCUUACGUCCAGGGCUACACACGUGCUACAAUGGCCGAUACAGAGGGCAGCUACCUGGUGACAGGAUGCAAAUCUCCAAAGUCGGUCUCAGUUCUGAUCGGAGUCUGCAACCCGACUCCGUGAAGUUGGAUUCGCUAGUAAUCGCGCAUCA